rnacentral:rRNA from 1 species
GACGAACGCUGGCGGCGUGCUUAACACAUGCAAGUCGAACGGAAAGGCCCUGCUUUUGUGGGGUGCUCGAGUGGCGAACGGGUGAGUAACACGUGAGUAACCUGCCCUUGACUUUGGGAUAACUUCAGGAAACUGGGGCUAAUACCGGAUAGGAGCUCCUGCUGCAUGGUGGGGGUUGGAAAGUUUCGGCGGUUGGGGAUGGACUCGCGGCUUAUCAGCUUGUUGGUGGGGUAGUGGCUUACCAAGGCUUUGACGGGUAGCCGGCCUGAGAGGGUGACCGGCCACAUUGGGACUGAGAUACGGCCCAGACUCCUACGGGGGGUAGCAGUGGGGAAUAUUGCACAAUGGGCGGAAGCCUGAUGCAGCAACGCCGCGUGCGGGAUGACGGCCUUCGGGUUGUAAACCGCUUUCGCCUGUGACGAAGCGUGAGUGACGGUAAUGGGUAAAGAAGCACCGGCUAACUACGUG